AAUUUUCUGAUUUCCUUAAUCUUUCCCCGAUUCUUAUUCUCCCUCCCCGAUUCCCUCUGCCGAAACCCCUCCCUCUCCGGCAAUUUUUCUCCCUGCGAAGGCAAGCGCGCCACCGUCCGCCGGUGUAAACCUGAUCGAGCCUCUCCUCUCCCGAUUCUCUCUUCUUUCCUUUCCCUCUGUUGCACAGACGACCAUUCCUAUUUUGCUUCUCUUCCUCUCUCACACGAACGCCCCGACGCUGCCAGUGCAUGUCCACCACUGCGAUCGCGUCCUUGUCGAGUCGCCAGAGGGAAUGGCGUUGGUUUUCGGGGGUUACCGACCAUCUCCGACUGAGAGGUUGUCUUCUCGGCGGUUUCUUGCUCGCGGCCGGUAGCAGCCCGGCGUCUAGGGCACAACCGGGGGAGUUUGACUCGCAUCCCCAUUUGAUCGAUCGUCUCCUCAAUUUGUUCGCUAGGGAUUGACCUAUAGCUCCACACUUGCUGGAUCAGAUCGGAACAACACCAUCUGGAGGCAAUCGAUCAAGAUUAGAGGAGGCGUUAAUCGGUACGGUGCUUGUGCCGAUCACUGUCUUGUUUCCAAUUCUUGAAGCUGUGGGAGUCUCGAGUGGGGAAUCUGAGAUCGAUUGAGAAGUGGCGUAGGGAGGUUGGUAGCUGUCAGCAGGAUUCUUGUGAAGGGUUGUUGAGCUACUGGAUUUGUUGCCUCCCUGAAGGACUUGGUUUCGAGGUGAGCGUCUCGACGUGGGAUUUAUCUUAUCACGA